UUUCGAACAAUACUUCAGCGAACUGGAGCCGGUUGCAACAAAGAAGACGACUACCAUUUCCCUGGACAACCAAGAGUUGGAUUUUGUGCCCGGUAAACGUGGUACCAGUUUGCUCCGGAUCAACAACUAUUGCUACGCCAGAAAUAACAAAUCACAAAACUCGACCUACUGGGUGUGCCGUACCAGAGCGCAACACCGGCCGUGCAAUUCCCGAGUCGUUACCACGCUGAAAAACAACGGACUGUAUCGGGUCGUGAUCACCAAUCCGGUGCAUCUCCACGAACCCAACAAAUCCAGUGUCUAUAGAAGAGUCGAGCAGGUCAGGAGGAUGCCCAAACUGGUGGCACCAAAGCCGGUGCUGGAGGAAAUUUUCACUUUCACGUUUGAUUCGGACUAGAACUGGAAUGAGUUGAAGUAAAAUUCGUUUAUUUUGUUUUGGUUGUUCAACCAAAAGAAAGAGUUUUUAAAUACAGUGCCAUAACGUCAUACCAUUUAGUACAGCCAGUAAUAUAAGGUGAUUCCUUACUGAUACUGAUGGGUUAUGCAGUACUAGAAUAAACUUACAUUUUCUAACCGAAACUCCUACACUGUUUGCGGACUUUUGUAUCCCUUAGGCUGUCUAUGGUUGCUUAACUGAGAUUAGUUACAGUAGAUGAGUAAGGUGAGGCGAAUUAAAAGUGUUAAAGCAACAGUCUCUGCUCGAUCUUGAUCGAGUGCAGUUUUCUCACUACGUCAUGGGACAUCGAAAUGUCUCACCACCUCAACUGGAUCAUGUUAAAAUAGACUUGUUUAGUCCGACAAACAAUAAAAUGAAAACUACUCUGUUCAUAAAAAUGAGUUUGAUUUGACUGCUUGGAGCAUGUGCGUUAUCUUCUUGAUAAUUAAACUCAUGAAAUUAUUUUCAUCGUUGUAGAUUUCAGCCGGCUUCGACUAAAUUAUGAAAUCAACCAAAAGGGCUUUCGAAGGCUGUUCAUUGAUGGGCACAGCUUUAUUCGAAAAGAGGCGCGAAAGAACACCAUUCUUUGGCGGUGUAAACACUACAAUGAUGUGCGUUAUAAAUGUGCCGCCCGGGGGACGUCCAUCAAUGAGCCCAAUGGCAAACUUAUUUCCUACAAUACCUUGAACACAAUCAUGGAAUCGUAGGAAACGGACACAGACGAAGCGAUCGACAGCGAAUUGGAGCGGAACGAUGAGCAGAAUUUUCGGAUCAAUGUGUGUUCAUCAAGUCAGAAUUAAUUAUUUCCCCGAAUAAAAGCUGUGUGCGAUACCGUGAAACAGUUGUUUGUGUUUGAUUUUGAGUCAAGCAUCUGUCGUUGUUCUAGAAUGCUAAUUAUUUGCAUGUUUUUCAGCAAAACAUGACGUAGCCUAUGUGCAGACAAGUCGAGGUAUACAGCUUUCAAUCAAUGGUUAUUUGUUCAAAGCAUGGAAAUCGGUUAAGAACGUAGGAAUAUGGCAGUGUCUUCAGUUUUCUGAAUAUGAUUGCCCAGUACAGGCUAGUACGGAACGAACCAAGGAUGGAAAGCAAGCACGCAUUUCAAUUCAAGGGCAACACAAUCAUCCCGCUUGCAAAGAUCGUAACAAAAACGCCACAAUGCGACCAGUUAUGAAAACCUACAGUAGAAAAAAAAACUCUAAGCCUCAAAAGGAAUAUUAAAUUGCUGCUAUUUGUGGUCAACAUUGUGAAGAAAAAAUAAAUUCCCAACUUCUCUACUCAUGUCUAGCUUUCUCAGUUUAAAAGUGGCAGCACUGAUUGACACGGUUCAAACCAUUCGCUUAUUAAUACAACGAAUUUCAUUUCAGUUCUUGAUGUGAACCAUCCAACCGUCCAAUACAUUGCGACCAACAAAUCGCGAAGAUUGUUGGUAAAUGGCCACUCUUUCACCCGUAAAAAGCGAACCGAGCGGUAUACAAUCUGGGAGUGUUGCCAAUCGAGACCUCUAGGCUGCAAGGCUGCGGUCACAACCUAUCUGGAGAACACCGGUGCAGUUAACAUUCGUGGAUCGCACAAUCACGCCGUCGUAACGGAACGACGGAGAUUGGGCCAGCGAAAGCAGCUGAUGGAGGAACGUCAGCGGGAGAGAAUACGUAGGAAAACUAAAAUAGAAGAAGCGACAGUUUAAUUCUUGAAGUAGUGCUUCCUAAUCUCGAAAUCCUACACAAUAUGGCGUAUUUUUCAACGAACUGCUAAUUCGAAUUGAUAUACACUGAACAAAUAAACUAAACAUCUGUAUGUGAUGUGAAGUUCUAGUGCUUCAUUCGUUUAAACCACACGGUCUCUCAUUAUUCUUGUUUAUUUACAGAUGUAACUUUUAUAAUGCAAAAAAUACUGCUCUUAUUUAGGGUUUAGGGAGUGUGCUUGAAAUGACAAAUCAAUUCCUAAAAUUAUCAAAACCACUUAUACGACAUAUCUGAUUUUAUCACUGCAAAAUCAGUUUUUCGUUUCACUGAAUUCUUCUUUGCAGUAGUGGUCAGCGGUAAACUAAUCUGUGGCAAACUGUUUGUCUCAUUUACUCUGUUGUUUACGCAUGUCUUUGCACUCGUAGCAGAAAACGGAAGCAAGCAUCAUAUCCAGUAUACGAUCAGUAGUCGUGGAACCCCGCUGCUAUUGCUCGACGGGUUCACCUUUACCAGGGAUAAGGAACGUAACAGUUUUACCUCGUGGAAAUGUGCCCAACAUCGUACGCACAGGUACGGAUAAUGGUCGCGAAAAGCUCGCUCUAGUAUUACAUAUUUUAACAUUCACUCUUGUACUCCCUAUAGCUGCAAGGCUCGUGCCAACGCCGUCCGGGAUCGCAGUGGCCAAAAGAAAAUCGUAAUCAAAUACUCGCACAACCAUUCGCUCGUAACCGAGCGAAGAAAGAAAAGUUCCUCUAGAUAAAUAAAUGCGCUACUUCUAGUACCUCAGCAAUAGAUAACCGACCACUGAGUUUUUUCAUUGAUUAUUUUGUUAUUUUUUUUAAUAAUGUUUGCUUCACAAUCUCUUUUGUUCUUUUAUAUUACCUAGAAGCAUUAUUCUGAAAUUAUAAUAUUAUUUUCUAAUUAUCUGUAUUGUCACGGUCGCCAUGUACUAUGUUGUUCUCUUGUCUUCAACAUUUUACCAAAGCCAUGGCCGAUUCGAAAGCCAAAAAGUACUUUUCGAAUUCAGCCUUGCAAUUGACAUAAUCUAGUACAACAGUAGUCUUCAAUAACUCUUGUGAUGAUCUUUUUGCUCAACAUCUGAACCUCUUAAAUUCUGACUCGGCAUGAUGUGCAUCAGAUGUACAAUGAGCUGCUAAUUUUCAGUUAAUGGAAUGGUCUUUUUUCUACCUGAACAAAUUGUCACGCAUGCAUAACCUCUUCAAUUUCAAAAUGUUGUUUAAACUCUUGCCAUCCCACAGCUGAGAAAAAAUGUCGGACCAAGAUUUUCAAAAUAUUUGUACUCGGUAGAUCAUUCAGUAGUCUUCUAGUACUUCAGUGAUUAUAUUUUGCUUGUUUUCUAUGCUGUCUUUGCACAUGCAGACAAGGCAUAAUGUACAAUAUUCAUACCAAAACUGUUAAUUUGCAGGUUCUCUAGUACCUCAAUGUAAACUUUCUAAUCAUAUCAUACAAUUUUCCCUAGCACCAGUAACCUAUACGGUGAACGCUCGUGGCAAUCGACGAAUAUGUCACUUCGGAUACCUUUUCGAUGCGGAAAAACGUCGCCACAAAUCCACCAGCUGGCGAUGCUGCCAGGCAAAGAAGCUUCAGUGUAAGGCUCGGAUAGUCGAGCGAAUCUCAAAGUGGGGCGAGCCAUCAUAUGAAUUCGUGCGGUCUGUGCACAAUCAUGGUGUUGAUCCUGGUGACACGCUGCUGGGAUUAAGCUUCAAACUUUAAGAAGCAGUAAAUAAAUAGUUUUUUUUAUGAGUUGAAGAUGUUUCCUUUUUUAUAUUAAAAACAUUCCUAGGUAUUAAUUGAAAUUAGUAUUCUAGUACUUCGUUUUCAUGUCUGUUCAUUUCAUAACUUACUUUGGAGCAGUUUGUAACGAUAUUUUGCCAUUCAACAGAUGUUACCGAAGUUCAGUACGUGUUGAGCGCUCGUGGAGGCUUACAGCUAUGCAUCGAUGGCUUCCGCUACACACGUGAUCGGAUUAAAGAUAACAAAAUUGUCUACCGUUGCGUGCACUACAAACCCUUAGGAUGCAAAGCACGUGCCCACACCGAUAAGGAUGACCCCAAGGUGAAGAUUAUCGAAAUGGAACACAACCAUCCACUGAAGAUGGACCGCCGAAAAAGUGGAGCCCUGAGACAGCUGCUGGAGCAACGCAAGCAGGAAAACCGAGCGGCGGGUGGACGUGCAAGUCGAAAAAAGUGAUGACGAUCUGUUUUUCGGCGAUAAUCUAGUACUUCCUGCUGAUUGUAGGGACUUCAUUUGGUGUAUUCAAUUUGAAAGAGCUAAUGAAAUCGAUUGAAUACUAAGAUUUUAGACCUCUCGAAGCUUCUUCAUUCUAAUACUACAACUUGAUUAGCACAAAUCUGCUGAUAGUUUAUUUGUAAUCAUUUAGUCUUAGAGACGUCUUCAUGGUAGUUUCUUCUGGUUGAUGAAUAAAUCAAUAAAGCAACUAUGACUAAUAUGUUUAUGUAUGUCUAAGCUUCUGAGAUAAAACAUCUGUUAUUUUAGUAAAGUCUCAUUGAGUCGUCCUGAAAUAACCACAUUUACAUUCAAACAAUUCUAGAACUGACCAUAUCGACUGUCCCACGACCAGCAAGGACAAUUGCUACGAAGCUAUUUCGUGUUCAACAGAGAAAACCGGCCAUUGUUGCUGCCGUCGAAGGAUUCACCUUUCCGUUACAAUCAGAAGAGGAAGUGGACCGUUUGGAGUACACCACUCGAAGAGAUAGGAUCAUUCGAGAUCAAUAUGUAGCGUUGUUGCAGGAAGUGAAACCUCUCCAUCAGGAUGCAUCUAAUGUUUUUGCAGACCUGUUUUCCGACGAGGCACUUCUGGGAUACAACUAUUACGGGAAAACGAACCGAGCGAAGAAGAAGAAAGCCAUGCGGAAGUAUAUUAUAUUCACCGAUUGUAUGGUUGAUGCAUGGCUUUCGCAUGGGGUUACGGAAGAAAGUUUAAGAAUAUCUAUCGUUAAGGUCAUUGCCCGACUCAACCACAAAGUACGUAGCAGAGGAUAUCGAAGAAACCCUUCGAGCGUUACAACGCAGGAUGGUGCCGAAGUCUGGGAAGAAGUUUAUUGAAAGAAGUAUGAACAUGUGUCAGCGAUACUAAGAAGUAAUGAUUGGUUAUGGAGCAGGAAGUUUCCAUGGUUAUGUUUAGUUAUAAGGUUAUUCCGUAAAAUGCUGCAGUACUAGAUCGCAACGUCUUAUAACCGAUAAAAUACCCUUGAAUCAACCAGUUUCUUUAGUUUUAAUUCGCAUUCCACAUAUAAAAGGCAAAACGCCUACAUAAGCUCAACUAUGCUAGCGUUUCUUUUAUAAAAUUGUCUGCAAUAUUGCGACAUUUGCACCCAUUUAGACUCAGCCCGAAUUAAUUAUUAUCACAGUCGAAUUUCGCACACGACUUCGCAGCGGCUAGCGUGUACAAGAUCGGUAAAGUUCUUGACAGGGGUAUUGGAUGCACAACGGGUACACCAAAUAAGUUUGAUUAGUGUGAAAUGUUGCUAGGAAAAGAUGAUUCAGUGGAUUCUCAAAUUAUCACAGUAGUCUAAACAUUGAUGAACAACCCAAUAUUAAACGCCUGAAAACACCGUCCAUACCCAAUUAACAAUGACAGCAGAUUGACAGCUUAUUAAGCUAAAAUUUCCAUAGUCAAGCUAUUGCACAGCGACAAUAUUUGUUUGGUGGUAAACCAAGCAUUUCCAAUGAAAGUAUUCCUUAAUUCUAGUAGGGUCUGGGACCAUUUGGACAGGAGAACCUAUUUUGAACACUUGUUGCUAUGACUCAGUCAAUUUCAAACCGAUUGACUUGAUUUUUUGAACAUGACUAGAUAUUGUGCCUAUCUAAUCAUGUCUCAAAAAUCAAGUCAAUCGAUUCGAAAUUGUCUGCGAUAUAGCAGCAAGUGCCCAAAAUAGAUGCCCCUACCCAAAUGGUCCCAGACCUUACUAAGAUCUGAACAUCAAGAUUAAAAUAUUCAGAAUCCAAAUAUUGACUACAAACGUUUAAUUAAGUAUGUUUUUUAUUAAAACAGAACAGUGACCACAUCAGACUUCGUUUAGAUUUUUUUCAAUCUACAGAACUAGAUUUGGGAACUCAUCGUAAUAAACAACUCGAGAUCAUCAGUUGAGCCUCUUAUAAUCGUAUAACCUUUUUCAUUUCCCACAGCAGCAUGCAACUAUCAUACACCUAAACCGAUGAAGCAAACUGAGCAAUGGUUCACUGUCGAUGCGUUCUAGUACGUGGAGAAUCGCAAGGGUAAUCUCAAUAUUUUCUACCAAGGAUACGAGUAUUUGCGGAGACGUGUUGCCGACCAUGCCACCAUGUGGGAAUGUAACAAGAAGAGAACCUGCGGAGCACGGGCCGUAACCCGAAACGGAAACCAGAUCAAGCUAAACAAGUUUCGACACAAUCAUCCGCACUCGCGGCUGGCACGUGGUCCGGUAAUCAUACCCGCCGUUAAUCCGGUGCCGAUCAUGUACAAGGACGAGCCUCUGGACUUGAAUGCUUUUGACGAGGUGAAUUCGGAGAAUGCUAAGUAACUAUGAUGUCUGUCGAAGCGUACUGUAUUAAUUUAAUCUAGUACGUUUAAAAUAUUUGUUGCAGUUCACAACAAACAAAUAAACAAAUAUACCGCCUGAAAUCUAGUACUUCAUUUCAACCAGCAAGCCAACCAGCUUGAGAACGUCAGUAACCAGUUCCAACAUCUCCAUUUCAGAUUUCUACGUUCGGUACGUGACCGGUUUCAGGGGCAGUCGCAAACUAAAAGUGGGCGAGUUUAGCUUUACCAAAAACAAGGAGUGUGCAAACAAAACGUACUGGUCCUGCGCCAGGGCCGGCAUGGACAAAUGCAAAGCGCGGGUGCUGACCUAUACGCUGAAAAAUGGCGAAGAGAACCUGGUGGUACGCUAUCCCACGCAUAAUCACGGGCCGUUCUAGUACUGCACUGUACAACUAUACUGAACAAUAGAAGCAAGCAUUUAGAUUAUGGAAUCAAACUGAUUUUGUGAGUUAGUAAUCUAAUUCUAUUUUCCUAAUAAUCACUAGGCACAAAAUGUUUGCUUGAAGAAUUCGUGUAACUAGUAGAUCGAUUAUUUCCAUUCUGGUUCAUGAACUAUUACAUCGAAUAACAUUCAAUAAUCUUUAUAGCAGAAUAUGAUUCGUAAUACUGGUAUAAUUAACCAUACAUUAAGUUGAAAAUAAAAAAUAGAAAAUUCGAUAAAUACAAUAAUUAAAAAACUAUCUUGUUACUAUUAUUGUUAAAAUUUUAAUAAGCUGACUCGCGUUAACAUCGCAAUUAUGAACUAGUACUGCAUGUAACACUCAACAAGUGUUAAUUCAUGAUUCAUGGAUCACGUGUGUAGAUCGAGUAUAAUACCAUAAUCGUGUGUGAUAAUCUAGUACUUCAUCAUAUACUUUUUCGCUUCUAUCCCGUUGCAGCCUUGCUCAGCACGAGUUUCAUGCAGCAAUUUCAAUCUCAAACACUCCUCUCGUCGCCUC